GCCCUGUGAUGAGAACAAGGCAAAUACGAGCUGAUUGGCUGGGAUCUUGUGUUCUCUUGCUCUCUGACUGGUGGGUAAUCUUGGCAGAGCAGUGGAGAUUGGCUGUGCUGCUGUAAGGGCCCACCCAUAUUGAUGUUAGCUGUCAAGCAUAAUACAAUUCUCCUUUAGAAAUGGACAUUUGUGGAUGAUUUGGCAGCUUACAGUGUGUGUGUGUUUGAGUAUGUCCCGAUAGUGUGUGUGUGUGUGUGUAAAUGUGUCAGUCAGCAAAGAGUCACAAAUCUCCUAAUGGGCCCACCAGCUGUGAAUGCUUUCUUUGGUAAUCUGAGGGCA